AUCUGUUACCAUAUUACCCUGAACACACCCAAUCUUGUCUGGUCUCUGAAGCUAAGUAGGGUCAAGCCUGGCCAAUACUUGGACAGGAGAGACUAAAAGAAAUAUCAAGUU
rnacentral:rRNA from 1 species